rnacentral:tRNA from 1 species
GGCUGUGUGGCCCAGUGGUUAAGGCAUCUGCUUUACAGGGAUUACAGUAUCGCAGAGGAUCGCAGGUUCGAGCCCUGCCACGGUCA